GGGAGGCCGGGCCGUGAGGGAGGCCGAGCCGUGAGGGAGGCGCUGCCCCGGCCCGGCCCGACCCGGGUGAGCCGCCCCAGCCGGCUCCGGCCCUCGCCUUUUUCUUUCGCCAGAGCAUUACGUCAUGCUUUUUCCUCCACGUGGAGAAAUAACAUUGUUAAGAGUUCUGAAGGACUACUGCCAGUUCUACACAUAGGGAUAAGAGAAUCAGCCCAUGUUCACAAAGACUAUUGCUCACACAAGCAAGAGUUACAAUAUUUUUCUGAGCACACUGGUCAUUCAUGUGAAAGAAUGUCAGGACUUCAAAGAAGAGCUGGGAGUUUUUCAAGGCAGAGCACAUUUGUGAUGGAGUGCAGAGGAUUCAGCUUGAUGCAAACAGACAGAAGAGACAACAUUAACAUCUCUGUAAUAAGAAGCAGCUGGGGAUAUGAAAGAAUUUCUUUAGUUAUGGUUUGA
rnacentral:lncRNA from 1 species